rnacentral:rRNA from 1 species
CCUACGGGGUGCAGCAGUGGGGAAUAUUGCACAAUGGGGGAAACCCUGAUGCCGCCACGCCGCGUGAGUGAAGAAGUCUUUCGGUAUGUAAAGCUCUAUCAGCAGGGAAGAAGAAAGACGGUACCUGACUAAGAAGCACCGGCUAACUACGUGCCAGCAGCCGCGGUAAUACGUAGGGGGCAAGCGUUAACCGUAAUUACUGGGUGUAAAGGGAGCGUAGACGGCUGUGCAAGUCAGAAGUGAAAGCCCGUGGCUCAACCGCUGAACUGCAUUGGAUACUGUCUAGCUUGAGUACUGUAGAGGCAGGUGGAAUUACUAGUGGAGCGGUGAAAUGCGUAGAUAUGAGGAGGAAUACCAGUGGCGAAGGCGGCCUGCUGGACAGAAACUGACGCUGAGGCUCGAAAGCGUGGGGAGCAAACAGGAUUAGAUACCCUUGUAGUC